AAUAUACGUUUAAAAUAAAGAAACACUAAAAGUACACGUUGACAGUUGAUUACGAUACAUCUAACAAUUUGAGUCAUUACAGUUAAACAUGGAUUAUAAGUGAAAUAUACGCGUAAGAGAAGAUUUUCUCUCGAAAAAACGAACUGUCAACAAUCGGCAUGGAAGUGGGAUAUUCGUAUCAAAGGGCUCUGAAUCCAGGAAAAUGUCUGAAUAUUACUUAGUCAACAACACUGGGUUAUGAAGAAUUCCAGCCUGCAUUAAAUACUAUGUUGGAUCGUUGAGAGCGGAUUUGACAGCCACGUCCAUCCACAAGGCAGUCGCAUCUGAUCGAGAUGAUCACUAAACAUUCUUGAUGGGUAAAGUACCUGAAGGUGCAUGAAAACCAAAUCAGCAUUGACUCAGCAUUGAGUUAUCAUCUGUGCUCACACUACAAGUACAAAGCAUGGGAACAGACCAAACUUCAAAUGUUGAAGAGUGAAGAAUUAUUGUGAAAAAUCUAAUUGUUAGAAUACCAAUGACAAAAUAAAACAGA